GAUGAACGCUAGCGGCAGGCCUAAUACAUGCAAGUCGAACGGUAACAUGAGUAGCAAUACUUGAUGACGAGUGGCGCACGGGUGCGUAACACGUAUGCAACUUACCUUUAACUGGGGAAUAGCUCCGAGAAAUCGGAAUUAAUACCCCAUAAUAUUAUGAAGUGGCAUCACUUUAUAAUUAAAACUCCGGUGGUUAAAGAUGGGCAUGCGCGACAUUAGCUAGUUGGUGAGGUAAUGGCUCACCAAGGCUACGAUGUCUAGGGGAUCUGAGAGGAUUAACCCCCACACUGGUACUGAGACACGGACCAGACUCCUACGGGAGGCAGCAGUAAGGAAUAUUGGUCAAUGGACGAAAGUCUGAACCAGCCAUGCCGCGUGCAGGAUGACUGCCCUAUGGGUUGUAAACUGCUUUUAUACGGGAAAAAACCUCUGAUCGUGAAUCAGAGCUGAUUGUACUGUAAGAAUAAGGAUCGGCUAACUCCGUGCCAGCCGCCGCCGUAACAC
rnacentral:rRNA from 1 species